ACCGACAUCAAUGAUUCGUUCUGCGAACCAUGACCAACCGCCAGAUAAGAGUGCAUACCCAGCUCUUUCAUCUGCUGCUCGCCAAUCACGCGAGUGACGAUAUUGGUGCUGAAUGCAUCGGCCAGUUGACGCGCCUGCGACGCCAGAUAGGCGGCAUUACAGAUAUUUGGCGGCAUAUUGCCCAAGUCUUUGG
rnacentral:antisense_RNA from 1 species